UAGAUACCCCACUAUGCCUAGCCGUAAACUUUAAAUUACACCCACAUCGCCAGGGAACUACGAGCAAAGCUUAAAACCCAAAGGACUUGACGGUACCCCACAUCCACCUAGAGGAGCCUGUCCUAUAAUCGAUAAUCCACGCUUAACCUCACCAUUUUUAGCCUACCAGCCUGUAUACCUCCGUCGUCAGCUUACCUCGUGAGCGAUUUUUAGUGAGCUUAAUGUCCACACGCCAAUACGUCAGGUCAAGGUGCAGUAAAUAAAAUGGGAAGAGAUGGGCUACACUCUCUAACAUAGAAUAUACGAAAGACUACAUAUGAAAUCUAGUCAGAAGGCGGAUUUAGUAGUAAAAAGAGAUCAUAAAGCUCUUUUUAACAUGGCACUGGGGUGUGUACACACCGCCCGUCACCCUCUUCAAAGCUAAGAGAUAGUAUUUAACAUAACAUAGCAAACCAGAAGAGGCAAGUCGUAAA
rnacentral:rRNA from 1 species